AUGCAAGCUCGAACGAUUAACCCAUCUUCGGAUGGUCUAUAGAGUGGCGAACGGGUGAGUAACACGUGACCAACCUACCUUCUUACUUUGGGAUAACUCAGAGAAAUCUGUGCUAAUACCGAAUACUCCGAUACCUUCGCAUGUUGGUUUCGGGAAAGUUCCGGCGGUAAAAGAUGGGGUCGCGGCCUAUUAGAUAGUUGGUGGGGUAAUGGCCUACCAAGUCAGCGAUAGGUAGCCGGGUUGAGAGACUGAUCGGCCACAUUGGGACUGAGAUACGGCCCAGACUCCUACGGGAGGCAGCAGUGGGGAAUUUUGCGCAAUGGGCGAAAGCCUGACGCAGCAACGCCGCGUGCGGGAUGACGGCCUUCGGGUUGUAAACCGCUUUCAGCAGGGAAGAAAUUGACGGUACCUGCAGAAGAAGCUCCGGCUAACUACGUGCCAGCAGCCGCGGUAAUACGUAGGGAGCAAGCGUUAUCCGGAUUUAUUGGGCGUAAAGCGCGCGUAGGCGGUUUGUUAAGCGGAAUCUCUAAUCUGAGGGCUCAACCCCCAGCCGGAUUCCGAACUGGCAGACUCGAGUUUGGUAGAGGAAGAUGGAAUUCCCAGUGUA
rnacentral:rRNA from 1 species